CUUCACAUCCGCUCAAUGCCACAGAGGACAAAUAGCCAUUAAGAGCACACUCAGCCAGACUUUAGCUUAGUGUAUGUAAUGUCAUUGUUCAUUGGCGGUGGAGACAUUCGGUCUGCAACAGUCGCUGCUGUCACAGACCCUUAGACUGAUGGAGCUCUGGGCAGCAGGGAGAUGAAACAGCAGGCUAAGGCUGGAGGCCGCCUUCAGAAAGGAUCGACGCGCAUGUUCACAAAAGCUUCUGGUGCUGGGUCUGGCUGUCAGUGGAUGCAAAGAUGGGCUGAUGGGUCAAAACGACCAUACAUAAUCAGGAAAAAUGAAUUGUAUGUGCAUCGGUAUGCGUGUGAGAGUGUUAUGUGUUUUCGGGGUAUUUUAUUUCUGAAAUGUUUAUUCCUGCUUCUCAAUUAUACCCCUCCACAUGGG
rnacentral:lncRNA from 1 species